rnacentral:lncRNA from 1 species
GGGAGAUAAUCUUUUUUUUUUCUUUUGAGUUUUAGAGGUGCUUCUUCAGACAAAAAACUCGAAAUUCCAACUUAAAAGUUGACAAAUGCACUGAGACAAGGAAUCCUGACGUACAGCUACAGUGUGGGAAUGCUUGCCAGGAGAGCCAUUCAUCUUGGAAGAGAGUCCCGUGAAGGUACCAUGUCUCCUUUAGUCUGACUCCCUUCGUUUCCUGAAGCAACAUCACAUGGCAGAUCUAUGAAGUCAUGAGGUGCACAUACUCUGCCAUCAGUCGUGUGGAACCCUGCAUGAUUGGCACAGCCUACUCUCCAAUGGCUCCUUUCUGGAGGUUUAACUUCUGAAAUAGUUCUCCACUGCCUGCCUUCAGGUGAACUGCAUUCUUAAGCCUGUUCCUUCUCUGUUCUAGUUUUUCAAAUAUUUACUUUUAUUUUUUUGAGAUUAUAAUAUAAUUACAGUGUUU